UGGAGGAACACAGGUCAGCCCAUGAUGCCUUGCCCAGCUCACUUCAAACGUGCUGAGCCUCAGUGUCUUCAUCAACAAAAUGAGGUGGAUCAGAGGGGGCCAUGGACCUCCUGGUACCUCUUCACCCCUUUGCUCACCAGUUUGGUUAUUCCCUCCAGGCUAAACCAUCUGCUAAGGCCACACUGGACCUUGAAAAGAUACUAAUUGUGAAGGUGAUGGUGACUGCGACACCAGCAAUGGCUGUCUCCUCACCCUGCUCCCCACUGAUCCCAGCAUUCCUCAAGGGGCCUCAGCCAUCCGGAUGGUGCCAGGAACAAAUCAGCCUACAGGUGCAGACCUGCUCAGAUUAGACAGAU